GCAUCGCCGAGCGGGGCGGCAGGAACUCACGAUGCUGCGCGUGCUUCCGAUCUGCGCAUCGGCAGCUCCUUUUAAGCCGCGCUUCACCACUUCAUCUCCUCCCGUCUGCCUUCCUCUGCCACUGCCACUCGUCUGAGACUCUGCGUGUGCGUCCAAUCGACUCAGUGUUCUGUUCCCUGCAGAUCAUGGCUUCUUGCAGCAGCAGCAACAACAACAAGAGGGCUGCCAUCCUCGUCAUGACCCUAGUGCUAAUGGCACUCGUUGCGUCUUCGGAUGCCAAGGCCAGCGAGAAGAAUUGCACCCAGCGUCCAGCAAAGGACCCGGGUUGCCCGAGCUUUGAGGACUGUCAUCGGAAAUGCGUAACGGAAGGCUACAGGGGCGGGCUUUGCACAAGUCCCGUCUGUAUUUGCGUCACUUGUUGAGCCGGCCAUAAACUUUAUCAAAGUUGGCUAAUAAAAAAAUAAGAUAUAUCAAGUGUGUUAUCCGUAUCCAUGUGUGUUUGCAUCUGUAAUCUUUGUUUCUAUUAUGUCUCCCGUUUAUCUAUGUAAACAUAACGGAAAGAGUUAGUUCCCUUUUUGACUUCCAA